rnacentral:rRNA from 1 species
AGCGAACGCUGGCGGCAGGCCUAACACAUGCAAGUCGAGCGGCCGUAGCAAUACGGCAGCGGCAGACGGGAGAGUAACACGUGGGAACGCGCCCUUCGGUUCGGGAUAACCCAGGGAAACUUGGGCUAAUACCGGAUACGCCCUUACGGGGAAAGAUUUAUUGCCGAAGGAACGGCCCGCGUCCGAUUAGCUAGUUGGUGAGGUAACGGCUCACCAAGGCGACGAUCGGUAGCUGGUCUGAGAGGAUGACCAGCCUCACUGGGACUGAGACACGGCCCAGACUCCUACGGGAGGCAGCAGUGGGGAAUAUUGGACAAUGGGCGCAAGCCUGAUCCCAGCCAUGCCGCGUGGGUGAUGAAGGCCCUAGGGUUGUAAAGCCCUUUCAGCGGGGAAGAUAAUGACGGUACCCGCAGAAGAAGCCCCGGCUAACUUCGUGCCAGCAGCAGC